rnacentral:rRNA from 14 species
ACAGGUCAACAUUCCUGUACCGGUUAUGUUUUGGGAAGAGGGACGGAGAAGGCUAGCCAAGCCAGAUGUUGGUUACUGGUCCAAGCGUUCGAGGCGUUGAGAGCUGGCGAAAACAGCUUGAGCUGAGGCGUGAGUGCGAGCUGCUACGGCAGCGAAGUUGGUGACGUCAAGCUUCCAAGAAAAGCUCUAUACCCGUUAAGGCAUAACUGCCAGUACCCGAAACCGACACAGGUGGGGUGGUAGAGAAUACCGAGGGGCGCGAGGUAACUCUCUCUAAGGAACUCGGCAAAAUGACCCCGUAACUUCGGGAGAAGGGGUGCCAGCGCGAGCUGGUCGCAGUGAAUAGGCCCAGGCGACUGUUUACCAAAAACACAGGUCUCCGCUAAGUCGCAAGACGAUGUAUGGGGGCUGACGCCUGCCCAGUGCCGGAAGGUUAAGGAAGCCGGUCAGCGUAAGCGAAGCUGGCGACUGAAGCCCCGGUGAACGGCGGCCGUAACUAUAACGGUCCUAAGGUAGCG